GACGAACGCUGGCGGCGUGCUUAACACAUGCAAGUCGAACGGAAAGGCCCUGCUUUUGUGGGGUGCUCGAGUGGCGAACGGGUGAGUAACACGUGAGUAACCUGCCCUUGACUUUGGGAUAACUUCAGGAAACUGGGGCUAAUACCGGAUAAGAGCUCCUGCUGCAUGGUGGGGGUUGGAAAGUUUCGGCGGUUGGGGAUGGGCUCGCGGCUUAUCAGCUUGUUGGUGGGGUAGUGGCUUACCAAGGCUUUGACGGGUAGCCGGCCUGAGAGGGUGACCGGCCACAUUGGGACUGAGGUACGGCACAGACUCCUACGGGAGGCAGCAGUGGGGAAUCUUGCACAAUGGGCGGAAGCCUGAUGCAGCAACGCCGCGUGCGGGAUGACGGCCUUCGGGUUGUAAACCGCUUUCGCCUGUGACGAAGCGUGAGUGACGGUAAUGGGUAAAGAAGCACCGGCUAACUACGUG
rnacentral:rRNA from 1 species